ACUGACCUACAGUAAUUACAGCUUCCUUAUUCGGGUUAUGUGCUCACUCCUACCUGUGACUCAAAGUUGAGCCCCACCCACGAUUCACCUUGAGCCCGCCCCGUGCCCUUGCGUGUGGCAGUGGAAACUGGGCGGAGGUUCAGCAUUCAGAUGUAUGCAGAGCAAACAGGCUCGCAAGCAUGUUACAAAAGCAAGCAAACAAAAAGAACAAUUGUGUGCGGCCUCGCAUGCCGUCGCGGUGAAGCACAAUGACCAUGCAUUUAUUUACUCCGACACAGAGGAACACAAAGCUUGUUUCCACAAGGCUGGCGAAGGAAGGACCCAGCUGCUUGCGGUCAGGGAGCGACUGGAGCUUCUGAGGAGGUGGGGGUGAGGCCGCAUUCUCACCGCAACACCUCCCUCCGGGAUGGGGUCUGUCCAAGGGAAGCGUGUCUGCACAUCCUGCAAACACACAGCCAUCAAAACAUGACAUUGUUAUGAAUAUGCAAGGAACACAAUUUCAGUAUUGCUAAACACCCACAAAGACACAAUAUUAGGUACACUAGCAAAAAUCUGUCUGCACCUGAUGUUUUCAUUUUAUUCAUUUCACUGAAACUAGACAAAUGCCCUAUUUUGAAGUUUCACAAUGGCUACGUAUAAAAGAAUAAAACCAAAAUAAAGAAA